UACGGAGGGUGCGAGCGUUGUCCGGAAUUACUGGGCGUAAAGCGUGCGUAGACGGUAGCGUAAGUCAGAUGUGAAAGCCCCGGGCUCAACCUGGGAAUUGCAUUUGAGACUGCUCUGCUCGGGUGCGGAAGAGGGAAGCGGAAUUUCCGGUGUAGCGGUGAAAUGCGUAGAUAUCGGAAGGAACACCAGUGGCGAAAGCGGCUUCCUGGUCCGACACCGACGUUCAGGCACGAAAGCGUGGGGAGCAAACAGG
rnacentral:rRNA from 1 species